CGGUUAGUCGAUCCUAAGAGACGGGGAAUCCUUGUAUCAAGGGUGCACUCUGCAUGAAAAUUGAAAGAGAAUUGGGUUAAUAUUCUCGAACCGGGACAUGGUUGUGGAUGACAAUGUUAGGAAAUCUGGAGAUGUCAUCAGGGGCUGAGGAAGAGUUAUCUUUUCUUUUUAACGACUUUCCCACCUUGAAAUCGGUUCAACCAGAGAUAGGGUCCAACAUAUGAAAGAGAACCAAAUGUAUUGCGGUGUUUGGUGACCCCUCGACGAGCAUUGUAAAUAUGGCGAACCGAGUACCAUCCAUGCCUGUUCGUACUCAUAUCUACCUGCUUGGAUUUUUCAAUGUCCACUAGGUUAGCGAUCUUG
rnacentral:ncRNA from 1 species